UGGGGAAUUUUCCGCAAUGGGCGCAAGCCUGACGGAGCAAGACCGCGUGCGGGAUGAAGGUCUGUGGACUGUAAACCGCUUUUGAUAGGGAAGAACACAAUGACGGUACCUAUCGAAUCAGCCUCGGCUAACUCCGUGCCAGCAGCCGCGGUAAUACGGAGGAGGCAAGCGUUAUCCGGAAUUAUUGGGCGUAAAGCGUCCGUAGGUGGUGAUGCAAGUCUAUUGUCAAAGCAUGAGGCUUAACCUCAUACCGGCAGUGGAAACUGCAUUGCUAGAGUGCGAUAGGGGCAAGGGGAAUUCCCAGUGUAGCGGUGAAAUGCGUAGAUAUUGGGAAGAACAUCGGUGGCGAAAGCGCCUUGCUGGGUCUGCACUGACACUGAGGGACGAAAGCUAGGGGAGCGAAUGGGAUUAGAUACCCCAGUAGUC
rnacentral:rRNA from 1 species